GAUGAACGCUAGCGGCAGGCUUAAUACAUGCAAGUCGAGGGGCAGCAUGAUUGUAGCAAUACAAUUGAUGGCGACCGGCAAACGGGUGCGGAACACGUACACAACCUUCCAACAAGUGGGGGAUAGCCCAGAGAAAUUUGGAUUAAUACCCCGUAACAUAGCGAUGUGGCAUCAAAUUGCUAUUAUAGAUUUUUCGCAUGUUGAUGGGUGUGCGGCUGAUUAGAUAGUUGGCGGGGUAACGGCCCACCAAGUCUACGAUCAGUAGCUGAUGUGAGAGCAUGAUCAGCCACACGGGCAAUGAGACACGGGCCCGACUCCUACGGGAGGCAGCAGUAAGGAAUAUUGGACAAUGGACGCAAGUCUGAUCCAGCCAUGCCGCGUGAAGGAUUAAGGUCCUCUGGAUUGUAAACUUUUUUUAUAAGGGACGAAAAAGGGCUUUUCUAAGUCGUCUGACGGUACCUUAUGAAUAAGCACCGGCUAACUCCGUGCCAGCCGCCGCGGUAAUAC
rnacentral:rRNA from 1 species